rnacentral:rRNA from 1 species
UACGAAGGGGGCUAGCGUUAUUCGGAAUUACUGGGCGUAAAGGGUGCGUAGGCGGUGCUCUAAGUAAGGUGUUAAAUGUAUGGGCUCAACCCAUAGCGUGCAUCUUAUACUGGAGUGCUUGAGUUUGGAAGAGGAAAGUAGAAUUUCUGGUGUAGAGGUAAAAUUCUUAGAUAUCAGAAGGAAUACCAAUGGCGAAGGCAACUUUCUGGUACAAUACUGACGCUGAGGCACGAAAGCGUGGGGAGCAAACAGG